rnacentral:rRNA from 1 species
UGGGGAAUUUUGGACAAUGGGGGAAACCCUGAUCCAGCCAUCCCGCGUGUGCGAUGAAGGCCUUCGGGUUGUAAAGCACUUUUGGCAGGAAAGAAACGUCGCGGGUUAAUACCCCGCGAAACUGACGGUACCUGCAGAAUAAGCACCGGCUAACUACGUGCCAGCAGCCGCGGUAAUACGUAGGGUGCAAGCGUUAAUCGGAAUUACUGGGCGUAAAGCGUGCGCAGGCGGUUCGGAAAGAAAGAUGUGAAAUCCCAGAGCUUAACUUUGGAACUGCAUUUUUAACUACCGGGCUAGAGUGUGUUCAGAGGGAGGUGGAAUUCCGCGUGUAGCAGUGAAAUGCGUAGAUAUGCGGAGGAACACCGAUGGCGAAGGCAGCCUCCUGGGAUAACACUGACGCUCAUGGCACGAAAGCGUGGGGAGCAAACAGGAUUAGAAUACCCCUGGGUUAGUCCCAACGCCCUAAAACGAUGCUNAACUAGCCUAGUUGGGGCUUUGCGGCCAUUGGUAGGCCGCAGGCUAACGCGUGAAGUUGACCG